rnacentral:rRNA from 1 species
GACGAACCGUGCGAGCGUUGUUCGGAAUCACUGGGCUUAAAGGGCGCGUAGGCGGGUCUUCAAGUUUGGGGUGAAAUCCUCCGGCUCAACCGGAGAACUGCCUCGAAUACUGAAGGUCUCGAGGGGGAUAGGGGCAUGCGGAACUACGGGUGGAGCGGUGAAAUGCGUUGAUAUCCGUAGGAACUCCGGUGGCGAAGGCGGCGUGCUGGAUCCCUUCUGACGCUGAGGCGCGAAAGCCAGGGGAGCAAACGGG